ACAGAUGCUGGCCACUUUAUCCUCCGGAGGGCAGGCAACACCACUGGUUAGCCCAGGGGCGGGGCACAGGUUGAGGUCUCACAUGUGGCUGCAUCAGGAUCAAUGAGCUUCCCACAGAAAAAACCCUGGUCACAGGAGGCCUCUGGGAGCCAGGGCAGGCCCUCAGUUUGACCAACUGAAGAAAGAAGUGACCUUGUGCAACUUCAGAGCCAGACCUCAAGAGGCCUUGUAGCUUCUGCUCUGCUUGUUGGAACACAACAAUGUGGGAAGCCCAGGCCAGCCUGCUGGGCACGUGUGGCCCAACCGGCAGCCACGAGCGUGCAGUCAUCUGAGACCACUGGACAACUGCAGCCACAUGAGGUGUGAACAACAGAAGAACUCCCCAGCUGACCCCAGCCCACAGAAUUGAGCAAAUAACAUGGCUUUUGUUUGAAGCA